rnacentral:tRNA from 1 species
GGCUCUGUAGUGAAGUUCAUAGUGAGUUGCAAGCUCAUUGACGUGCAUUAAUUAUGUACCGGGGCCU